CACGGCGUCACGGCGCCCGCCGGCAACGCCUCCCCGACGCCCCCCGAUUCCUGGAAAGAGCGGCAGGGGGAGCGGCCCGGCCCGGCCCGUCUCGGUCUGGUGUGCAGGAGUUGUGGCGGCCGCACGCCGCGAUGGGUCGCGUCGCUCCUCCGGAGUGCCACGGCGUAUUCUGCUUACGAUCAAAGUUCCCGCGCGUGGCGAGCAGAGCGCCGUGCGGUUUUGUGUCUGCGGCGCGAAGCGAGGCCUGGGCGCGGCGGGACCUCAGCCGUGCGGUGAAGGUCGCGGCUGCGGGUCGGGAGCGGCCUGUGGGGAGCGAAAGCAAAAGCAAAGCCAGGCCGGGCAGGAGGAGCCUUGCGCUGAGGGACGGGCGGCCUGCGGACCGCGCCUGGCCGGCUCUCCAGGCAUAGGGGCAGCUGCUGCCGUCGGUCUGAGCUCGCAAGUUUGAGGCCGCUGCUGAGAGCCGAACGAGAUGUGGAAGACCCCGUAGGUCCCGAGGGGAAAGUCAGCGACUGCCCCCUCCUCUCACAACGUUUCACAACUAAAUCAAAAGUCAUCGUGCAGCAGAAGAGGGUGAAAGGAGAUAACGACAGAAGGGGAGGAGCGGGGCUGUGUCCUUUCACAGACCGGGCAGUGAAUGCGAGGGAAUGGGACCUGCAGUGGAUCAGCAGAGAUUCUGAGAACUGAAGGCCUCACCAGAGUGAACAGAAUCAGUGGGUUACAGUGUAUGAGCACAAAGUCUUACUAGCCACUCUCUUACUCCUCCCUGUCCCUGACCUCAAGGUACAGAACCUUCUACCGUGUCCCUCAUCUUCAUGCAGGAUCUUCUUCCCUUUUUGUUGCUGGAGGACAACAUGAACUCCUCCUGCUAACUCCUGGACCUUUCUUUAGUCCAUCUUUCUGAGCUAUGAGGCCAGCAGAAGCUCCCGUGUAUCCUGCUCUCUGUGGGACAACACCCAUUGCAAUGGGCAGGGGCUGGGUCCCUCUGUGUGAAGAAGCGGCAGAGGAGAACUAGCUAGAAGGGCUGGAAAGGCAUACUGGGGAACCUCCUGCUAUGAUAAGAGCAGUAACUGCUUUUGUAUACCAACCAAAUGGAAACUGAAAACUCUAUAAUAAAACCAACAGUAAGUGACUUUCAGAUCAGAAAACAGGUUUGCAAGACACAGUUUGUGAGCACAUCAUGGAAUGCAAACUGCCUCACAUUUUUGGGGGUCAGAGGAGGAAGCCAUCCCUCCCAUCUACAAAGAUCAGCUUGGGCAGAUGCUCGCAUCUCCAGCAGGGAGGCCAAACCUCUGAUGACGAUUCUCUUCUUCUGGUCAAAAUGUCAUCUCCAGCAUCUGCUACCUGACCCUAACUGCAGAAGAGAUUUUUCUCCUUUCCUUGUAAACAUCAAUCCCUCACAAUACUGAACAUAAGCUCUAGAUGCAAAAAUUACAAGUAGCAAAGCCGGAGUUUAUUAGAAACCACAUCUACCUUCAUUUGAAAGUGGG
ensembl:lncRNA